rnacentral:rRNA from 1 species
UACGGAGGGUGCGAGCGUUGUCCGGAAUCAUUGGGCGUAAAGGGCGCGUAGGUGGCCCGGUCAGUCUUUGGUGAAAGCGCGGGGCUCAACCCUGCGUCGGCCAGGGAUACUGCCGCGGCUCGAGCACUGUAGAGGCAGGCGGAAUUCCGGGUGUAGCGGUGGAAUGCGUAGAGAUCCGGAAGAACACCGAUGGCGAAGGCAGGUCUCUGGGCCGAUACUGACGCUGAGGUGCGAAAGCGUGGGGAGCAAACA